GAUUUGGGUAUCUCUGUGUCAUUUCGAUAGCUGGACCUCAUGCUAAGCUGGUUCACUUUAUCAGCCUCAAUUUGUCACUAGGAAAUAGCCUGUGGAUAAGGCCGAUUCUCAGCACUGUAAGGAGACAUCACUAUUUAACGCCUAUUACAGGGCCUGAUUAAGCAAAUGGAAAUUACCUGACAAGUUGCCCCACAUGUCUGCUUAAACGCUUGCUCCAGAGGUAAUAUUUACUGUGCCCUGACUUGUAGAGCUGGCUAUGAAGGUGUCAGCUUGCUCUUUCAUGGCUGAGCUUUUACUGAGGUUGGUUUAAAUGCAGGGUGACUUGCUUUUCCCCUCUUUGUACUAACAGUAAUGAGACAGGGAAGGAAGGAUGUGAAGGGGAGCCCUGUAAAUGACAGCCUGAGCCGAAGACCGCACCUAGUGGGGGCUGGUAUCGUGAGUGUGGAAAAAGUCAGUGGGAGCAUGGUGAGAACUUGCUGGCACCUCUGUAGAAAACUGGUGGAGGAAUCAGGACGAUCUGACUGACCCACUUAAGGGAGAGGAAGGAGAGCGUGACCAGGCAAGGAAAGAAAUAUUGAAUUGGGGGGAGGAAGCCCUCCUAGGCGAUGAAUGCCCCUUCUUUCCAAGAGAUGCCUGGUUGCCUCUUUCCAUGGGUGCCUGGUAAUAAAACCUCUUUCACAUGAACA
rnacentral:lncRNA from 1 species